rnacentral:rRNA from 1 species
AGCGAACGUUAGCGGCGCGCCUAACACAUGCAAGUCGCACGAGAAACGGAGCAAUCCGCGGUACAGUGGCGCACGGGUGAGUAACACGUGGAUGACCUUCCCUGGAGUGGUGGAUAACCUGCCGAAAGGCGGGCUAAUACAGCAUGGGACCACGACGCUUUGGCGAUGUGGUGAAAGCGGGCCUCUAUAUAUAAGCUCGCGCUCCGGGACGGGUCCGCGUCCCAUCAGCUAGUUGGUGAGGUAACGGCUCACCAAGGCAACGACGGGUAGCUGGUCUGAGAGGAUGGCCAGCCACACUGGAACUGAGACACGGUCCAGACUCCUACGGGAGGCAGCAGUGGGGAAUCUUGCGCAAUGGGCGAAAGCCUGACGCAGCGACGCCGCGUGGGCGAAGAAGGCCUCGGUUGUAAAGCCCUGUGGGGAGACGAACCGUACGGGGCGGAAGUGCCUCCGUCGCCUGACGGUACUCCUUUAGCAAGCAUCGGCGUAACUCUGUG